rnacentral:rRNA from 1 species
AUUGCAGUCUGCAACUCGACUGCAUGAAGUCGGAAUCGCUAGUAAUCGCGGAUCAGCAUGCCGCGGUGAAUACGUUCCCGGGCCUUGUACACACCGCCCGUCACACCAUGAGAGUCGGGAACACCCGAAGUCCGUAGCCUAACCGCAAGGGGGGCGCGGCCGAAGGUGGGUUCGAUAAUUGGGGUGAAGUCGUAACAAGGUAAC